AGCUCCAAUAGCGUAUAUUAAAGUUGUUGCGGUUAAAAAGCUCGUAGUUGGAUCUCGGCGAGUAGGGGGCGGUUCGUUGUUUGACGGUACUGCCCCAUUUACUCGUGUUUUUGACAGAGGGUUGGAGGUCCCCUUCAUUGGGUGUCUUCGGUCACUGUCAGGUUUACUUUGAAAAAAUUAGAGUGCUUAAAGCAGGCGUCAUACGCCUGAAUAUUUGUGCAUGGAAUAAUGGAAAAGGAUAAUUUACCUUUUUUGUUGGUUAUACGGUCGAAUUAUAAUGAUUAAUAGGGACAAUCGGGGGCAUUAGUAUUCAAACGACAGAGGUGAAAUUCUUGGACCGUUUGAAGACUAACUACUGCGAAAGCAUUUGCCAAGAGUGUUUUCA
rnacentral:rRNA from 2 species